rnacentral:rRNA from 1 species
UACGGAGGGGGCUAGCGUUGUUCGGAAUUACUGGGCGUAAAGCGCACGUAGGCGGCUUGGUAAGUUAGAGGUGAAAGCCUGGAGCUCAACUCCAGAAUUGCCUUUAAGACUGCCGAGCUAGCAGGUGAGAGAGGUGAGUGGAAUUCCGAGUGUAGAGGUGAAAUUCGUAGAUAUUCGGAAGAACACCAGUGGCGAAGGCGACUAACUGGACAUGUAUUGACGCUGAGGUGCGAAAGCGUGGGGAGCAAACAGG